GGGAAGUAAGGCUAAAUUUAUGGGGAGGGUAUAGGGUGCUGGGAGUGUGAUGUGGGGACUGUAUCACCAAGCUGGGAACAAAGCAAAAAGCAAAUAUCACCAACAACCAAGGAAACAUCAUCAUCACAGUGUACUUCCUGUGGAGAUAAUUCACUGAAUCUUCCUUCCUUUCUUUCUUGCCAUUCCAAAAAAAACUUUACCCUUUGGACCAAGUUUCUUUUUUUUAUUUAAUUACUUGGGAAUACAUCAUGAAUACAGAGUUCUUGAAUCACCGGAGUCCACACCUUUACAUUACUAGCUUCAGCUGUCCGGAAACCUUUCUCAAGGAGAUUCGCUAAACUGGCCAUUCCACUUUUAUUGGAAAGUCAAGACAUGGGAACAACGACAAGAGCUGUUCUUUGACUGCUGGAACUUUUACCUCUCAACUUUUGACCAGGGAGGCAGCCAUCAUGCCCUAUUGUACCCUACAUUAUGUUUUAAACCUUGCCCUUCAGUGACGAUGCUACUGUUAUUUUAUGGAAACCUCUAUCCAAAACUGCUUACAAUGGACUCAAGGUAUCCCAUUAGUAAAAACCAACCAACAACCAUAUACAAAAGUAUCAUGAGUGCCCUUACAUUGAAGCCUUUUUAUUUAGCCUGACAUUUGUGACUGAGUGUAAAAACUGAUAAAAAGUAGAAAACGGUGUAAACUGUGUGACUGUCUCUAGUUAUAUUAUGUCAGUGAUCUAGACUGUAUACUGUAUGUGUAACCAUUGUAGAAGAAGCAAAAAUGCAAAAUCACUAAUGCUUUUGAUCUUAGCAUUGAAGGAACUGGGUGGUGGGUGGGUUAUGGUGGGGAGUGAAAUUAACCAUGUUUCUGUUGGUCAAAACCCUUCUCCGCAAUGUCAACAGCUCUCAGUUUUAGCAAAGAUGCUUCAGACAAAUACAUUGGCUCAAUUUGGGAUUUACUAUGAAAACUACACCACCCCUGGGUAAACUAAUUGGCAAGUUAAAACACUCCAGAAAUUCUACCUGGUUAAAGUUUGUUAUAGAAUAUUCAACAGAUUUCCUAAAUAAGCAUUUCACUGUACACUGAGAGACACGACAAUGGGAAUGAGGGUUUGAUGAUUGAGAGUGAAGGAAAUAAAACGUAAUAAACUCCUAAUCUCAACAUACCAGAGAAAUACAGACACAUGACAGAGACACAACAUGUCCCCCCUAAGGGAAUUAUAAAGUAACUGAGCUAAUCGUGAUCCAAUUAAAUUAAGAACUGUUUGAGAUUUCUUUGCUAGCAGCCUUUAAUUAUAAUUCAGAUUUUUUUUUCUUGUCGAGUCCUGUGUCGCUUGUCGUUAAAUGUUAUAAACAGCUCUGGCGUGGCCGCAUGAGGGAUGUGGGUUGUAGAGAAAGGCUUCUGCCCUUUUCAACAAGAGUGUCUUUGUGUUUAUAAUCAUCUGUGAGGUCUGAAGUCCAUUUUUGUCAUUCUUUGUUGUUCAUUUUUCCACCAUGCAUUUGCAUAGUAUGUGUUUCAUGUGUUUAACAACUCCUACGUUAUGUCAUCCAAAUGGUUGAACCUUGGACAGUUCGGUGCUUACCACUCUGCUGUAUGCUUAAUAAAUAUUUGUUGACAUUAA